GCUGAAGGAAGGAAGAAAGAAGGCAUUAUUUAAGGGCUGGUGAAGAUCCACACCAGCUGGCUCCCAUGUGGUGCUCAUUUUUAUUAAAAAUAAAAUGCCUUUAUAUGUUAACUCUCUUUUCAGCCACCAAGUUCCAGAUGCCAGCAUGAUGCCGACCAGACUUCCCUGGACAGACAACCCCACCAAUGUGUCCUGGAGCUCUGCUUCCCCGGAGCCGUUCCCCACUAGGGAAAGAGAGACAGGCUGGGAGUAUGGAUCGACCUGUCAACACCCAUGUUCAGCAGGGAAGCAAUUACAGAAACCAGACCUUCCACCUUCUGCAUCCCACAAUGACCUUGGAUCCAUUCUCCCAAAGGAAUAAAGAAUAGGAAAGCUUUUAGGAGAGGGGAUGGGAUACAGAGUUAUGAUGGUGGGAACUGUAUGUAGUUGUAUCCCUCUUGUCUAUGGUUUUGUCAAUGUUCCUUUUUAUAAAUAAAUUAAAAAUAAAUAAAUAAAAACAAAAUGUUCUAUGAUGGUUAUCUUUGGGAGGUGGGAGGGUGGGGAUACAGAACUUUGGUGGUGGGUGUGGUGUGGAGCUGUACACUGUAAUCUUACCAUCUUUCCCCAGCCCUGCACCUUUUCAGUCCCUUCCAGGACCUGGAACUGGCCAGAAUCUACUGUGCUGUCAGGGAAUUGUUUGGAGUGAAUACUUGUGUCCUUCCCCAAACCAACUCCUUAUGAUGAAAUCCUUACCUCUAACAUGACUAUUUGGAGACAGGACCUCUAAAGAAGUAAUUACUGAACCACCAGGUUCCAGAUGUCAUCAGGAUGCCAACCAGACUUCCCUGGACAGACGACCCCACCAAUGUGUCCUAGAGCUCCACUUCUCCAGAGACCCACCCUACUAGAGAAAGAGAGAGGCAGACUGGGAGUAUGGAUUGACCAGUCAAUGCCCAUGUUCAGUGGGGAAGCAAUUAUAGAAGCCAGACCUUCCACUUUCUGCAACCCACAGUGACCUUGGGUCCAUAUUCCCAGAGGGAUAAAGAAUGGGAAAGCUAUCAGAGGAGGGAAUGGAAUAUGGAGAUCUGGUGGUGGGAAUUGUGUGGAGUUGUACCCCUCCUAUCCUAUGGUUUUGUUAAUGUCUCCUUUUUUAAAUAAAUUAAUUUUUAAAAAGAAUAAAUAAAUAAAUAAAUAAAUAAAU